UACGGGGGGAGCAAGCGUUGUUCGGCUUUACUGGGCGUAAAGGGCGCGUAGGCGGCCACCGCAAGUCGACUGUGAAAUCUCCGGGCUUAACCCGGAAAGGUCAGCCGAUACUGCGGGGCUAGAGUGCGGAAGGGGCAACUGGAAUUCUCGGUGUAGCGGUGAAAUGCGUAGAUAUCGAGAGGAACACCUGCGGCGAAGGCGGGUUGCUGGGCCGACACUGACGCUGAGGAGCGAAAGCGUGGGGAGCGAACAGG
rnacentral:rRNA from 1 species